rnacentral:rRNA from 1 species
AGAACGAACGCUGGCGGCAGGCUUAACACAUGCAAGUCGAGCGCCCCGCAAGGGGAGCGGCAGACGGGUGAGUAACGCGUGGGAAUCUACCCAAUCCUUCGGAAUAGCUCCGGGAAACUGGAAUUAAUACCGAGUACGCCCUACGGGGGAAAGAUUUAUCGGGGUUGGAUGAGCCCGCGUUGGAUUAGCUAGUUGGUGGGGUAAUGGCCUACCAAGGCGACGAUCCAUAGCUGGUCUGAGAGGAUGAUCAGCCACACUGGGACUGAGACACGGCCCAGACUCCUACGGGAGGCAGCAGUGGGGAAUAUUGGACAAUGGGCGCAAGCCUGAUCCAGCCAUGCCGCGUGAGUGAUGAAGGCCCUAGGGUGUAAAGCUCUUUCAGUGGGAAGAUAAUGACGUACCACAGAAGAAGCCCGGCUAACUCGUGCCAGCAGCCGC